rnacentral:rRNA from 1 species
UGGGGAAUAUUGCGCAAUGGGGGAAACCCUGACGCAGCAACGCCGCGUGAAUGAAGAAUGCCUUCGGGUUGUAAAGUUCUAUCAGCAGGGAUGAAUAAAAUGACAGUACCUGACUAAGAAGCCCCGGCUAACUACGUGCCAGCAGCCGCGGUAAUACGUAGGGGGCAAGCGUUAUCCGGAUUUACUGGGUGUAAAGGGUGCGUAGCCGGAUAGGUAAGUCUGAUGUGAAAUCCCGAAGCUCAACUUCGGGACUGCAUUGGAAACUAUCUGUCUAGAGUGCAGGAGAGGAAAGUGGAAUUCCUAGUGUAGCGGUGAAAUGCGUAGAGAUUAGGAGGAACACCAGUGGCGAAGGCGGCUUUCUGGACUGUAACUGACGGUGAGGCACGAAAGCGUGGGGAGCAAACA